UAACGAAUUUGAAUGAAGAGCCCUGCUCUUUCGGCGCCAUUUUCGAGUGAUGCCCGAUCGCAUCGCUGCCGCGGGGGAGCCGCGGCUCAGCGGGGCCGCCCGCCGCCCCGCCGGUCCGCCGCCAAAAGUCACCUCCCUCCCCCUCCGCUCCUCCUCUCCCCCCUCACCCCCCCCCCGCCGCCUCGCCGCCGCUACCACCGCCGUGCUUCGGAGCGGGUGCCGCCACCGGCAUAGGCGGUUUCGACCUUUCAAUAGAGAGCUGAUUUUGGAGAACGGCUUACUCCUGUGAUUGAAAAACUCUCUCUGGAAGGUCGAUGGAGCAUGAGCAUGAAUAUGCAUAUCACUUUAAAGGCUGCUGACACUAAGAAUUAGGGGGGAAGAGGGUUCCUUAACAAAAGCAACCAGAAGGCAGGAGUAAAAGAAUAUUAA